rnacentral:rRNA from 1 species
AGAGUUUGAUCCUGGCUCAGAAUGAACGCUGGCGGCAGGCCUAACACAUGCAAGUCGAGCGAAGUCUUCGGACUUAGCGGCGGACGGGUGAGUAACGCGUGGGAACAUGCCCAAAGGUACGGAAUAGCCCCGGGAAACUGGGAGUAAUACCGUAUGUGCCCUUCGGGGGAAAGAUUUAUCGCCUUUGGAUUGGCCCGCGUUGGAUUAGGUAGUUGGUGGGGUAAUGGCCUACCAAGCCGACGAUCCAUAGCUGGUUUGAGAGGAUGAUCAGCCACACUGGGACUGAGACACGGCCCAGACUCCUACGGGAGGCAGCAGUGGGGAAUAUUGGACAAUGGGCGCAAGCCUGAUCCAGCAAUGCCGCGUGUGUGAAGAAGGCCUGCGGGUUGUAAAGCACUUUCAGUGGG